rnacentral:rRNA from 1 species
CUACGGGAGGCAGCAGUGGGGAAUUUUGGACAAUGGGCGCAAGCCUGAUCCAGCAAUGCCGCGUGAGUGAAGAAGGCCUUCGGGUUGUAAAGCUCUUUUGUCAGGGAAGAAACGGCUGAGGUUAAUACCUUUGGCUAAUGACGGUACCUGAAGAAUAAGCACCGGCUAACUACGUGCCAGCAGCCGCGGUAAUACGUAGGGUGCAAGCGUUAAUCGGAAUUACUGGGCGUAAAGCGUGCGCAGGCGGUUUUGUAAGUCUGUCGUGAAAGCCCCGGGCUCAACCUGGGAAUUGCGAUGGAGACUGCAAGGCUUGAAUCUGGCAGAGGGGGGUAGAAUUCCACGUGUAGCAGUGAAAUGCGUAGAGAUGUGGAGGAACACCGAUGGCGAAGGCAGCCCCCUGGGUCAAGAUUGACGCUCAUGCACGAAAGCGUGGGGAGCAAACAGGAUUAGAUACCCUGGUAGUCCACGCCCUAAACGAUGUCUACUAGUUGUCGGGUUUUAAUUAACUUGGUAACGCAGCUAACGCGUGAAGUAGACCGCCUGGGGAGUACGGCCGCAAGAUUAAAACUCAAAGGAAUUGACGG